GAUGAACGCUGGCGGCGUGCUUAACACAUGCAAGUCGAACGGAAAGGCCCAAGCUUGCUUGGGUACUCGAGUGGCGAACGGGUGAGUAACACGUGGGUGAUCUGCCCUGCACUUCGGGAUAAGCCUGGGAAACUGGGUCUAAUACCGGAUAGGACCACAUUUUGGAUGGUGUGGUGGAAAGUUUUUCGGUGUGGGGUGAGCUCGCGGCCUAUCAGCUUGUUGGGGGGGUAAUGGCCUACCAAGGCGUCGACGGGUAGCCGGCCUGAGAGGGUGUACGGCCACAUUGGGACUGAGAUACGGCCCAGACUCCUACGGGAGGCAGCAGUGGGGAAUAUUGCACAAUGGGCGCAAGCCUGAUGCAGCGACGCCGCGUGGGGGAUGACGGCCUUCGGGUUGUAAACUCCUUUCGCUAGGGACGAAGCGUUUUUGUGACGGUACCUGGAGAAGAAGCACCGGCUAACUACGUG
rnacentral:rRNA from 1 species